UACGAAGGGGGCUAGCGUUGUUCGGAAUUACUGGGCGUAAAGCGCACGUAGGCGGAUACUUAAGUUAGGGGUGAAAUCCCGGGGCUCAACCCCGGAACUGCCUUUGACACUGGGUAUCUCGAGUCCGGAAGAGGUGAGUGGAAUUCCGAGUGUAGAGGUGAAAUUCGUAGAUAUUCGGAGGAACACCAGUGGCGAAGGCGGCUCACUGGUCCGGGACUGACGCUGAGGUGCGAAAGCGUGGGGAGCAAACAGG
rnacentral:rRNA from 1 species